rfam:Sphingobacteriales bacterium 44-61 SCNpilot_expt_1000_bf_scaffold_4, whole genome shotgun sequence.
CCAGGGAUAACCGAAAACCUGUAGAAAAGAGUAGGUG